rnacentral:lncRNA from 1 species
AAUAUAACCAGAAUUUGGAGGAAAACUAAAGCAGGAAUGGGGAAGGAGAUCUUAGUCUGCGAUGUGGAUUUGGAACUCUGCAAGCAUAUUCACAUGAAGGCUAGGAUCACAGGAUGGCUAAAGACAUCAGGAACAUCUUGUGAGCACAUUUGGCUACUCCUGCAGGCCAGGUGA